UCUUUGAAAUCAACCGUUAUAUAUGACCUAUUAUUUAUUUAAUUCUCUCUCCUCCUUCAACCCUAGCUUCCAGCCUCCCCAUUCCCCCCUUCUUUUUCUUGUAUGGUUGAAAUCGCUCCUUCCCCUAAUUUUCAUAUGCAACCAACUAUCUCCUUCAUCCAUUCUCUCUCCUCAUCUCCGCCCAACUGUUGCGAACAACUCCACUGUAUACCUCCUUCAUCACCGCCUCGCGGUGGUAGCUCGCCAUUCCCUUCCGAUUAAAACACUCGGUACUCUCUCUUUGGGAUCUAAGCUUAUGAGUAUAUGAAGCAUCUGGAUCAGUUCAUAUUCGAAGCUAAAGACAUUGUCCAACACUCCAACAUGAUAUGAAUAUUUAAAGCUUUCGCUGAAGAUGCGUAUUAGAAUUUUUUUUUACUUCGUACAUAUUUAUGGGUUGUGUAAUUUGUAGUCUUUACCAUAUACUUGUAUAAAACAUUAAAUGCAAUAAUAAUUUUAAAUAUUAAAUACGAGUAUUAAAUUAAAU